UACGUAGGUGGCAAGCGUUGUCCGGAAUUAUUGGGCGUAAAGCGCGCGCAGGCGGUUCCUUAAGUCUGAUGUGAAAGCCCACGGCUCAACCGUGGAGGGUCAUUGGAAACUGGGGAACUUGAGUGCAGGAGAGAAGAGUGGAAUUCCACGUGUAGCGGUGAAAUGCGUAGAGAUGUGGAGGAACACCGGUGGCGAAGGCGGCAUCCUGGACCGGCACUGACGCUGAGGAGCGAAAGCCAGGGGAGCAAACAGG
rnacentral:rRNA from 1 species